GCGCAAGGCCAAGCAGGCAAGGCAGCAGCAAUGCUGUGUUUGUGGUGAGACAGGGGCAGCCAUCACAUGCGCAGAGAGCGGCUGUGAACGGAGCUUCCACCUGCCCUGCGCCAAGGACAGGCAAUGCGUCACCCAGUACUUGGGCUGCACAGGUCCUUCUGCUGGGAGCACCGCCCCCACAGGGCAGCAGCGACAGCUCCAGCAAAAGGCACCACCUGCAUCAUCUGCCAGGGGACUGUG